CUGCUGCUGGGUCCUUCUUUGGCUGCGGAAGGAGCAAACGUUCUGGUUCAGACUUUGGACUGCGUGCUGGAAGAACAGGGAGCUGAGACGUGCCCUGUAAUGCUGAGUACCCUCAGGGUACACUGAGCUUAGCUCAGGUCGCUGCUCUGCAAUGAUACUUCACAUGAAGUUUAGAGUAAUUGAGGAUGAAAGAAUGAAAGAGUGGAGUUUGGGGGUGUGUUUUCAGUCUAGAAACAACAGCAAGGGAAAAAGACCAUCAGGUAACAGGAGGGACAUAAACUUCGUUCCAGAAUGCAAAGCAGCCACCGGUGAGUCAGAGCGGGAGGGUCCCCUUCAGAGAGGCAGGAGCCCCGUGACUGUCCUGCGAGGAGCCAGCUCUGCUUCGAGCUGUUUGUGUCAGGACCAUUUCAACUCUCUCCCCUUGAAGUGAGUGCAAGAAACGGAGCUGCGUCCCAGGAGUGCAAGUCUAAGCUGUGCUGCAGAGCAGCGAGGUGCUGGCCUGUGGAUCCUGAGCUAUGAUGAGAACACCCAGAGACUGCAGAAACUCUCAGAGCUGUGCACAAAGGUUCUCCCAAAUGGCUGCUGUGCUCAUCACAUCCCCGAUGCUGCAGGUCACGGUCAGUGCUGCAGGAACUGUCAUUGCCAUUGGAAGUGCUCUGCUGGAAAACCAAGUGCUGCUUUGAUCCUGUGAAGACCUCCCAAACAACAUCAGGAGAUUGAACUUCCCCACUUGGUUGCCAUCCCUAGUUCCCUCUGUGAGCAAUGUACAAAGACCAGGCUGCCCCUUCCUGCUGGGGAACAGGAACAACUCGAGAGGAAACCGCACUCAGGGCUGCAACCACAGCGGUGCUGCAGGGCAAAGCCACAGCCCCAUGGAGGAGCAGGGGGCCUAGUGCAGGUCAGUCCCUCACCUGCAGGCUCAUUCUGCAGGCAGAGCUCUCAGCCCAGCCCAAUGGAGCAGGGAGGCUUUAUUUAUGUGGGGGGGCUUUAUUUAUGUGUGGGGGCUUUAUUUAUGUGGGAAGGCUUUAUUUAUGCUGGGAAAUAACGGGGUGAGUCAGGCCUGUGCCAUAUGCUUGUUGAAAUUCCAGACAGCUGGGCCUUAGUGGGCUAUAAAGGACCAUGAGCUCAGUUAUUCUGUUAUUGACCCCCCAAAGAGAUUUAUCUGUAGACUUGAGGAUGUAACCCGUGUAACUGUGAGCACCUCUGAGAUUGCCAUAUUCCCCAUUGAUGUUCCUUAUCCCUUCCAGUUUAAAAACCCCCCGAUGACCCAGGUUUUAUAGCUUUCCCAGGGACCUCUUUGAUGUAUAAUCCCUGUUCCCUGCUCAUCUCCCUCCCACAGAAUCACACAAUGACCCGGGUUGGAAGGGACCUCAAGGAUCAUGUAGUUCCAACCCCCUGCCUGG